UCCAUCUUUGCAUUUCUUUCUUACUGUAUAAGAUAAUUCAGGUUCAGUCUGUUUUCUCCAGAGUCUUUCUUAUAAUGAUGUUGAUGAUUCAUUUUUCAUACAUUCCAUGUUAACUGUGAAUGUAUCACGUCUGUCUGUUCAUCCUUCUCCUUCACAUUUGCAGGUUCAGAUGUCAGCUCAUGAUUUAGUCUGUUACGUGGCUAUGAUUCUGGUGCCUUUUCUGUCGUCCUCUGUUUGUUUUAUC